GGAAGUAAAAGUCGUAACAAGGUUUCCGUAGGUGAACCUGCGGAAGGAUCAUUACCGAGUGCGGGAACCCAGUCGGGUCCCAAUCUCCCACCCGUGUCUACCACACCUAGUGUUGCUUUGGCGGGCCCACUCCUCCGGUGUUCCGCCGGGGGGGUCGUCCCGGGGCGCGGUGUGCCCCCGGGGCCCGUGCCCGCCAGAGGCACUCACUGUGAACGCUUUUGUGAAUGCGAGGAUUGUCUGAGUGACGAAAUGCAAUCGUUCAAAACUUUCAACAAUGGAUCUCUUGGUUCCGGCAUCGAUGAAGAACGCAGCGAAAUGCGAUAAGUAAUGUGAAUUGCAGAAUUCCAUGAAUCAUCGAAUCUUUGAACGCACAUUGCGCCCUCUGGUAUUCCGGGGGGCAUGCCUGUCCGAGCGUCAUUGCGAACCCUCAAGCACGGCUUGUGUGUUGGGCCGCCGUCCCCUCGUUUGGAGGGGACGGGCCUGAAAGGCAGCGGCGGCGUCGCGUCCGGUCCUCGAGCGUAUGGGGCUCUGUCACGCGCUCAAGGAGGGGUCCGGCCGGGGCCAUAGCCUCUGAAGGUCAAUUCUUCCAAGGUUGACCUCGGAUCAGGUAGGAGUACCCGCUGAACUUAAGCAUAUCAAUAAGCGGAGGA
rnacentral:rRNA from 1 species